AUGCCUGAACAGAGAGAUGAAAAAAUACCCUUAGAAGGUUUCUCCACAAAGGCUGAAGGUAAGAGGAAUAAGCUGAAAGGGAAGGAGUCUGAUAAAAAGGAAAGCCCAGCGAGGAACAGACGGGAACAGCACGUACCUGGGAAGGAAAAAUACUUGGCAACAGUAAUUAAUAUGGAAAUAAUCUUCCCCCACUCUGAAGAAAGUGUGACAUAUGUUGAGGUCAUUCCAACUCCGAAAAUCUUUUCUAAGCCGAGUCCUUAAACGAGGACGAUUUCAAUCAAUAGGUACAACUAUGCCCAGCUCCCCGGGUUGUGCCAAGUGACCGCGGUUACCAGCACGGCCAAAGAAGGGCUCAGAUUUCCCAAAGCCUGACCCAAAGGCAUCCUACCCCAGCUGCCUUGCCCAAGUCAGCCUGUCCUCCUGGUGCUUCAGCCCCAGCCACGGUUUUCUUACUGGCAACGACAAGCUCUGUCUGCCUGCAUCGCCGGGGUGACACCGGGAUUUCCCAUGCAAGUCACACCUGCAAAAAUAUAUUCGACAUGACAGAGCUAAUCAGUGACAAUCCGGCGGGGACAGAUGAACAUCCCAUCCACAGAGAUCAGCCCGGUUUGUGUGAAACUCCGGGCCACAAAUAAUUCAUCGCCCCUUUAUUAAAUAAUUAGAUAUUAACAGAGAACCGCUGAUUAGCCUGCGCUGAUAUCAUAGUGUAUAUUUCCUCUCUUGACUUUGUCACCGAGGUCACCAUACAACCCAAAGCUGAGGAGGAGAGAGGGAGGCAGCGUAUGGGCACGGCUGGAUGAAGAAGCCUUUCAUUAGCCCUGCUGACCCCCCAUAAUUUCAUAUGUCAGCAGCUAAUCAAGGACUCACUGACAUCAUCAAGGGAUAGGGAGAAAAGAUCUCCCAAGGGACCGAUCACUUCUCACAGGAGAAAGUCUCUACCCACACCAGGAGGUUACGUGUGUUUUGCAAAUAAAUAAAGUGUUCUUGCAUUGUUUUUAAUUAGC
rnacentral:lncRNA from 1 species